rnacentral:rRNA from 1 species
GGCGAACGGGUGAGUAACACGUGGGUGAUCUGCCUCGCACUUCGGGAUAAGCUUGGGAAACUGGGUCUAAUACCGGAUAGGACAGCUGUUUAGUGUCAGUUGUGGAAAGUUUUUCGGUGCAAGAUGAGCUCGCGGCCUAUCAGCUUGUUGGUGGGGUAAUGGCCUACCAAGGCGUCGACGGGUAGCCGGCCUGAGAGGGUGGACGGCCACAUUGGGACUGAGAUACGGCCCAG